GACGAACGCUGGCGGCGUGCUUAACACAUGCAAGUCGAACGGAAAGGCCCCUUUGGGGGUACUCGAGUGGCGAACGGGUGAGUAACACGUGAGUAACCUGCCCUUGACUUCGGGAUAACUUCAGGAAACUGGGGCUAAUACCGGAUAGGAAUCCUUGCUGCAUGGUGGGGGUUGGAAAGCUUCGGCGGUUUUGGAUGGACUCGCGGCUUAUCAGCUUGUUGGUGGGGUAGUGGCUCACCAAGGCUUUGACGGGUAGCCGGCCUGAGAGGGCGACCGGCCACAUUGGGACUGAGAUACGGCCCAGACUCCGACGGGAGGCAGCAGUGGGGAAUAUUGCACAAUGGGCGGAAGCCUGAUGCAGCAACGCCGCGGGCGGGAUGACGGCCUUCGGGUUGUAAACCGCUUUCAGCAGGGGCGAAGCUUGUGGUGACGGUACCUGCAGAAGAAGCACCGGCUAACUACGUG
rnacentral:rRNA from 1 species